GACGAACGCUGGCGGCGUGCCUAAUACAUGCAAGUAGAACGCUGAAGGAGGAGCUUGCUCUUCUGGAUGAGUUGCGAACGGGUGAGUAACGCGUAGGUAACCUGCCUGGUAGCGGGGGAUAACUAUUGGAAACGAUAGCUAAUACCGCAUAAGAGUAGAUGUUGCAUGACAUUUGCUUAAAAGGUGCAAUUGCAUCACUACCAGAUGGACCUGCGUUGUAUUAGCUAGUUGGUGGGGUAACGGCUCACCAAGGCGACGAUACAUAGCCGACCUGGGAGGGUGAUCGGCCACACUGGGACUGAGACACGGCCCAGACUCCUACGGGAGGCAGCAGUAGGGAAUCUUCGGCAAUGGACGGAAGUCUGACCGAGCAACGCCGCGGGAGUGAAGAAGGUUUUCGGAUCGUAAAGCUCUGUUGUAAGAGAAGAACGAGUGUGAGAGUGGAAAGUUCACACUGUGACGGUAUCUUACCAGAAAGAGACGGCUAACUACGUG
rnacentral:rRNA from 1 species